rnacentral:rRNA from 1 species
AACGAACGCUGGCGGCAUGCCUAACACAUGCAAGUCGAACGAGACCUUCGGGUCUAGUGGCGCACGGGUGCGUAACGCGUGGGAACCUGCCCUUAGGUUCGGAAUAACUCCCCGAAAGGGGUGCUAAUACCGGAUAAUGUCUUCGGACCAAAGAUUUAUCGCCUUUGGAUGGGCCCGCGUUGGAUUAGCUAGUUGGUAGGGUAAAAGCCUACCAAGGCGACGAUCCAUAGCUGGUCUGAGAGGAUGAUCAGCCACACUGGGACUGAGACACGGCCCAGACUCCUACGGGAGGCAGCAGUGGGGAAUAUUGGACAAUGGGCGAAAGCCUGAUCCAGCAAUGCCGCGUGAGUGAUGAAGGCCUUAGGGUUGUAAAGCUCGUUUACCCGGGAUGAUAAUGACAGUACCGGGAGAAUAAGCUCCGGCUAACUCCGU